rnacentral:tRNA from 2 species
GGCCGGGUAGCCAAGUGGGAAGGCAGGGGACUGCAAAUCCCUUACGAGCGGGUUCGAUUCCCGCCCCGGCCU